GGUGCGGAAUAGCCCAGGGAAACUUGGAGUAAUACCGUAUACGCCCGAAAGGGGAAAGAUUUAUCGCUAUAGGAUGGGCCCGCGUAGGAUUAGCUAGUUGGUGAGGUAAUGGCUCACCAAGGCGACGAUCCUUAGCUGGUUUGAGAGAACGACCAGCCACACUGGGACUGAGACACGGCCCAGACUCCUACGGGAGGCAGCAGUGGGGAAUAUUGGACAAUGGGCGCAAGCCUGAUCCAGCCAUGCCGCGUGAGUGAUGAAGGCCUUAGGGUUGUAAAGCUCUUUUGCCGGGGACGAUAAUGACGGUACCCGGAGAAUAAGUCCCGGCUAACUUCGUGCCAGCAGCCGCGGUAAUACGAAGGGGACUAGCGUUGUUCNGAAUCACUGGGCGUAAAGCGCACGUAGGCGGAUUUGUAAGUCAGGGGUGAAAUCCCGGGGCUCAACCUCGGAACUGCCUUUG
rnacentral:rRNA from 1 species